GGUCAGCGAUGAGCGUUAAGUCGUAACAAGGUAUCCGUUCUGGAAGGAGCGGAUGGAUCACCUCCUUUCUAGGAG
rnacentral:rRNA from 1 species